rnacentral:rRNA from 1 species
UCUGGCGGCUAUACCGGAGGGGUUCCACCCGUUCCCAUCCCGAACACGGAAGUUAAGACCUCCAGGGCCGACAAUACUUAACGGGAAGAUAGGUCGUCGCCAGGU